rnacentral:rRNA from 1 species
AAAGGGGAGUCGGAUCCGAGUAAAGUGGCGCACGGGUGAGUAACACGUGGGUAACCUACCUCUAAGACUGGGAUAACCCGUCGAAAGAUGAGCUAAUACCGAAUAAGACCACAGUUCCGGCGGGGACAGAGGUCAAACGUAGCCUCUAUUUAUAAGCUAUCACUUAGAGACGGGCCUGCGCACCAUUAGCUAGUUGGUAGGGUAACGGCCUACCAAGGCAAAGAUGGUUAGAUGGUCUGAGAGGAUGAUCAUCCACUCUGGACAUGAGACACGGUCCAGACUCCUACGGCAGGCAGCAGUGGGGAAUAUUGUGCAAUGGGCGAAACCCUGACGCAGCAACGCCGCGUGAGUGACGAAGGCCUUCGGG